rnacentral:ncRNA from 1 species
AUAAAGUUUUAUUCUUGCUUUGUAAUUUAUUAUUUUUGAUGUUUUACAUGUAAAUUUAUGUGUGAUUAAUUUUUUUUCUAAAUGAGAAGUUUAGUUUAUUCGCAGUAUUUGAUUUUAUUAAUUAAGGUGACUUAGAAUUAGCAAUUUAUUAUUGGAUCGGCUAAAGUCGUGCCAGCUGCCGCGGUUAUACGAAGGAUACAAAUAAAUAUUUUUAGUUGGGAGUUAUUUAUAAUUUAUGGAAUUAUUAUUAGAUUAUUAAGGUAGAAUUUAUUAAUUUAAAUAAUUUCUUUGAUAUUAUUGGAAGAAGCUUUGAAACUUUAUUGUUAAACUAGGAUUAGAUACCCUAUUAUUUUGAAGCGUGAAUUUGUAGAUUUGAGUAGUAUUAGAUAUGAUCUUGAAACUCAAAGAAUUUGGCGGUGUUUUAGUCUUUUCAGAGGAAUCUGUCCCGUAAUCGAUAAUUCACGUUUAUUUUACUUGGUUUUGUAAUUUUGCAGUAUGUAUACCGCCGUCAUAAGAUUAUCUUUUUUAGAGUAUAAAUUUUCUUGGUUUUUAAUUAAGAGUUAUGUCAGGUCAAGGUGCAGUUUAUAAUUAAGUGGAGAUGGAUUACAAUAAAUUUAUUUAUAUUUUACGAAUUUUUAAUUGAAAUAUUGGAAUGAAGGUGGAUUUGAAAGUAAUUUUAUUUAUUAUAUUAAUUUGAUUUUGGCUCUAAAGCAUGUACACAUCGCCCGUCGCUCUCGUUAUUAAGGUGAGAUAAGUCGUAACAUAGUAGAUGUACUGGAAAGUGUAUCUAGAAAGU